rnacentral:rRNA from 1 species
CCCGCUGAACUUAAGCAUAUCAAUAAGCGGAGGAAAAGAAACUAACAAGGAUUCCCCUAGUAACGGCGAGUGAAGCGGGAUGAGCUCAAAUUUAAAAUCUGGUAGUCUUUUUUGGCUGCCCGAGUUGUAAUCUAGAGAAGUGUUUUCUGUGCUGGACUGUGUACAAGUUUCCUGGAUACGGAACAUCAUAGAGGGUGAGAAUCCCGUCCUUGACACAGACUCCCAGUGCUUUGUGAUGCACUCUCGACGAGUCGAGUUGUUUGGGAUUGCAGCUCAAAAUGGGAGGUAAAUUCCUUCUAAAGCUAAAUAUUGGCGAGAGACCGAUAGCGAACAAGUACCGUGAGGGAAAGAUGAAAAGCACUUUGGAAAGAGGGUUAAACAGUACGUGAAAUUGUUAAAAGGGAAACGAUUGAAGUCAGUCGCGUCUACUUUGGACUCAGCCUUGCCUUGGCUUGGUGCAUUUCCUUGUGGACGGGCCAGUGUUCAUGUUGGUUACUGGAAAAGGUAUAGGGGAAUGUGGCUCUUUUGGGAGUGUUAUAGCCCUUGUUCAUUAUACGGUGGCUAAUAUGGAGUGGUACAGCAUGCUUCGGCGGUGCUUGUGCUGGCAUAAUGGCUUUAAGCGACCCGUCUUGAAACACGG